GAUCUUAGUGCGACAUAACAUUAAAAAAAGAAAAGACUAAAACCUUAAGAUUUAAAUGUAACACUGCAGUUUUAGAGCUUUAUUAAGACCUAAUACAUGAUCGAAACCUCAUAGUUGUCUUAAGAUAGGUCUAGAACACGAGAAUAAUUUUAAAACCCUGCACAACCUUUUGGUAAUACUAUCUUAUAACCUCAUAGGUAUCUCAAAAUAACUCUAGCAGCCAAAAUUUUCAUUAUCUUCAACUACCCUUGAACCUUAGCAUUGUUUAUCCCAAAUUAGGUAAGCAGUCCUGAAGCACUACACAAGGACCCAUGAGUUUCCCAACUUUCUGUUAAUUUAAAGGAGUGCGCUUGUGCUU
rnacentral:lncRNA from 1 species